rnacentral:lncRNA from 1 species
UGUGCCUGGCUGGAUCAGGGUGGGGCUGUAGAGCUGCACAUCAUAGUCUGCAUCCGGGUCAGCCCUGAAUCUCAGGCACUGGAAGGUUACCCUGAUGGGCAGGACCCACUCCCAUCACUAAGAGAACAUCAAAAGGGCAGGUGUGGGGGUGGAUAGGAAGAUCAGGAUCUCUGAAAGGAAAUUUGCAUUGUGGUAACCUACAGACUCCACCUGGACCCAUGAUUCAUGACUCAACCAGUCCACCCAGAAGCUGACUCAGAGCAUAAGGAGCAUUUUCCACACCCCUAGGAUUUCAUCUCCAACCAAUCAGCAUUCCCCAUUCUCUAGCCCCUGUCCACCAAACUAUUCUUUAAAAACCUUAGCUCUAAGCUUUAUUUAUUUAUUUAAGUAAUACACUCCUGUCUUCCACUUAGCUGGUUCUGUAUUUAUUAAACUCUUUCUCUACUGCC